rnacentral:misc_RNA from 1 species
CACUUCCUCCCAUUCUUAUCUGUUGUACAUCCUUCUCAUCAUGUGGAGGUCGCUCGUUCCACGGAGCUGGAAAAAUCCUGUCUUCUCCCGUACGCAGUACGCUUCUUCUUCAGCCAAUCCCAACGUUCUCUCUCCUUGGAUAUUUCCGGGCGCGUGCGCAUCUCCUGGCAGCAUGCUCUGUACUUGGAGAAAAAUCACGCCGUGGUUAUCUGCAGCCGCCGCACAUGGAGAAGAAAAUCCAGCCGCCGAGAUUUUUGCCGCCGCCGUCGCCCAGCUCGGAUGGAGUCCACCAGCAGCCGCUCAAGCUCUCGUUCUUAUCUCUGCCGCCCUCCCCUGGGAUUUUUUUUGGACGCCGCCGCCCCUGGAUCCUUUAAAUGCACGCGCCGGUCCCUCUUCCCCUCUGCCGGUGGCCAUGGCAGCCGUCUGGCCGGGCUCAACCCCUGCCCAUCUUCCUGGUCGCGACCGCCCAGCUCCCUGCUCGGCGCCCCAAGCUCCCCUGUGCGCGCUCAGCUUGAAGCCUGUCCUCGGCGCCCAGCUUUCCCCAAGUCCGGCCAUCGCCUCACUGGUCGCGCGUCCGAAAUCCCUGCCGAGCAACUCACUUCAGCCCCCAGCUCGGAUCCGCUGCGAGCUCGGUCCGGCCCUUUGCUGCAGCUCACUCUUUCUUUGUUUGCCGCGCGCAGCGUGUCGAGCUCCCGCAUCGCCGGCUUGUUGUCCAUAAAAUUCGCCCAGCCACGGCCUCGACAAACUGCGAAACUCCCUCGCCGUGGGCUCUGGCAUCGGCUACCGCCGAUUCUGCCAUUAAGUUCGCGACCACACCUUGUUCUGUUCGUCUCGCUGUUGGUGAUUUCUCUACGCUUCAAAUCCGUGCUGCUCGCCCCGCAUGCGCUCACUCCUCAUCCAUCGGGUUCUGGCGAGUUCGUGUUUUACGUCGACUCGUCAAACCCGUCAUCCUCUGCUCAACCCCACUUCGUCAGUUCGCUCCAGACAUAAUCCCGUCGCCGUUCUGUGCGUCGGGUGAAGACGAAGCUAGCCGAGUAAUAUUCACCGAGUGCACGACAGAAAGCUCGAACCAGUCGUCAAUCGCCUCGACAACAACCAUAUCCACGACUCCCGCCGUUCCAAUAAUUUUGCCGCAUCGCCCUUCAAAUCCGAGACCUCGUCCGUAGGAUCGUCGUUGACCUCGCAACUUCAACUCGAGUUAAUUAUGGACGAUAAAUAAUCGUGUGAUGCGGAAGACGACCCAAGUCGACUCCAAGCGCGGGCUAAUCCGCAGGAUGAAGCUGAUGAACUACUCUGAAGAUGGAUGGACGAAACAAGAUCAGAACAAGAGAUGAUCACCAAGUGGUCGACACCUAACAACACUAACCUAGUGUUACUCAGGCAAGCCCCGGUGCAUUUGCCACCUUCCUUGAUGUUUUAAAAUCUUUCUCACUUGCUUGCUGCAUUAGGUGAUAGGAGUUGAUUGAUAAAACAAUUCCUGCAUUACCUUCCUUGAAUUUGAUUACCUUCCUUGAUCACCCGUUUUACAAAAGAUUUUGAUGCUUAGCCUUGCUUUAGAAAAACAAAAUGUUUUGUUUUUACAAAAGAUGAUGUGGCAAAAGUGGGUGGGAUGUUUUCGAAAAUAAAACUUGAUGGUGAAUCCAUCACGGUCGUGAUGGAUUCAACAUCGGAAAAGAUGUACCUCUGCCAGGUACCAAACUUUGGGUUUGAAAUGAUUAAGCUGAGACCGGGCGGGUGACUUGCACGAGAAAGGAGUCUCGGUGUAGUGUCUCCGUCUGAGUCGAUUAAGGACCUUGUCGAUGUAGGCCUGCUGACCGAGGACCCUUUAACUGGUCACAUGCCUCGUCAUGGGUAAGCCUUGCCUCGGGCAGACUAAGGCCAGAAUAAGAUAACACGAAAUGGGCGUGGAGCAGUGGCGAGAGUAGUGUGUACCCUCCGUGGCAAGAGGCUGGACGGUGGUGUAUCUGUGCUCUCGGUUUGCGUGAACCUGAUCUGGUCUUA